ACCUCAUACAGUUGCUCAUUCCAACAAACUGCAAAUGCUUUUGGACAUGCAUCAAUUGCUUUCAUACAACUUUCUGCUGUUUUAUAACAUUAUCAUUUGUUAAUGUCAUGUCAGUCAAAAUUAACUAUACUUGUGAACGCUGAAUAGUCAUUCCAUAUAAAAUUAAUAGUCCUCAUUUCAUUGUUUGAGUCAUUACAUACAGAAUUGUUGAACUGGUUGUCAAAAUCUGUCAAGCAAAUUUUAUAACUAUUUUUU